UGGCGGGUGGCUUCUUUCUCCUCGGCUUCCUCUUCGGGAUCUAGCUAUCCAUUGUUUCUGGCCGCCUAUCUGGCAGAGAGGUGGGGGUGGUUUAUAAAAUCCUCCAAUGAAGCUACUAAGAUUACUCCAAAGCAUAAUAUGAAAGCAUUUUUGGAUGAACUGAAAGCUGAGAACAUCAAGAAGUUUUUAUAUAAUUUUACACAGAUACCACAUUUAGCAGGAACAGAACAAAACUUUCAGCUUGCAAAGCAAAUUCAAUCCCAGUGGAAAGAAUUUGGCCUGGAUUCUGUUGAGCUAGCUCAUUAUGAUGUCCUGUUGUCCUACCCAAAUAAGACUCAUCCCAACUACAUCUCAAUAAUUAAUGAAGAUGGAAAUGAGAUUUUCAACACAUCAUUAUUUGAACCACCUCCUCCAGGAUAUGAAAAUGUUUCGGAUAUUGUACCACCUUUCAGUGCUUUCUCUCCUCAAGGAAUGCCAGAGGUAAAAACACAGUGCAACAAAUAAAAAUGACAAAAAGAA
rnacentral:sRNA from 1 species